CUCACUCAAUCCCUCCCAAAUCACACCACUCCUCCCCCAAACCCUAGGCUGUCUAAUGCCGCACACCACACCAGACCACACCACGCCAGACCACCUCAUCUGCGACGCUGCAUCAUCUCUCCGAACAACCUCUUCAACGUCGUCGGACCACCAGGUUUAGAGAGUAGUUGAAGUUAGAGGUGCACAAUCGGGUUAGGGUUUGAACCCGAACCGGGUCCAAACUGGUUUGGAGUGAAGCCUAGAAAAGUCAAACUGGGUUGAGUGUGAAACCGGGUUGGUGGUUUGUAAAACUUAACCUUAUGAAAUCAGUUUGGGUUAGGUUGGUGUCAAGUGUAUUAGGUUGCUGUGUAUUUCAGGUUUCAAUGUUGUUGUUGCAGGGCGUGUCUUUUGCUCUGGAGUCGGUUUUGUGUCCGUCACCUGUUGUUGCAGGGCGUGUCUUAUACAACAUCAAUAGUCAUUCGGGGCAUGCUCAAUGACUAUUCAGGUAUGGGAGAUUGCUAACCGGUUGCAGAUUGAACAUAAAAAUUUAUGGGUAUGGAAUAUCGGGGCAUAGUCAAUGGCUAUUCAGGUCUGCAUAAUUACUAUAUGUUAGUAAGACAAUUGGAAAUGAAUAGUGUAUUCAACGGCAGGUUAGGGCCUCAGGAUUUCAAAACAAAACUGCUCCAACAAUGAAAAAACUAAGUGAAGCUGCCUUCCGGCGACCCGAUUGGCAAGCAGAGAUCUGUGUAGUCUAUUUCCUGAUCUGGUCUUUUAGUGUCACUGGUUGUUGAUCCCGGAUCAGCAAUGAGUGACACUAAAAGAAAGCACAUACUCAUAUCCAAAGGAAUGCAGUUAAAGUCGUCGACAACAACAGCACCGUCGGCGGCAUCAAAUGCAAAAAUGUCAUUGGAGUAGAGAAGCUGAUGGCGUCAAAGCUGAUGACUCUCGACUAAUCAUAGAAUUCAUUUGCAUAGUUAGGAAGAUACUUUCUCAGAUUUUGUUCUACACGAAAGGAUUUUCUUGAUUUUGAUGGAUUUGUCUUGAAGUAUCGUACUCGGUUUGCGAAACCAUCAAUUAGUCGACCCAGUGGUAUUCAGACUCUUUCCAAUCUGAAUUGCCCCUCUGCCAUUGAUUCUGAGAGUGACUCAGAGGGCCCUCAGGAGUACUAUACCGGCGGCGAAACAAGUGUUUAUAGUGGACGAGCCGAUGGCAUGCUGCUGCUGCUGCUUUUGGUGAUUAUAUAUCUGUGGCGGUCUAGAUGGAGCGUCUACGAAUUCCCUGGUUGAAGUUUAUACUUUAAAACAAGACAAGGUAAAACGAGGCUACACCAUCUACAGGAUGGAUUUGAACAGGAUGAUCGAGUCUCAGUACCUUCGUCACCAAUAUUUGUGGAUCAUCUAUCCAGAAUCUUGUGUUGCGGGUUCUUGCUUCAACAAAAUCGAUUACUAGAGUACCAGACAUCUAGAAUUCUUAAAAAAUAUAAGAACUUGUGCCAACAUCCAUGUAACUUUGUGACAACGCUUUAAUUUGGAUGUUGAAGGGUGUAUUAUAUAUCA